UAUUAGUUGUGAUAUGUGCUGCAUCUAGUCUCGGUAACGUCUUAUUUUGAAUUAGUUGUCUUCGUCUGCUGUUCUCUUUCCCCGACAGCAUGUUACAGAAUAACCAACCACAUCAAAUCAAAUGGAAGGCAUGGACUCCCCAGUAUUACUCCGCCUCCUCAGACCUGAAAGCCAAAGAAGGCUGGAGUAUCUGGGCUUGAUGCUCCAGCACGGCGGCCUCUCCCUCACAGUCAGUGAGCCCGAGAGACCAACAGGGCUCGUUCAUGAACCAGAGCCAGGGAUCACGGAAACCAAGGAGACGAAGCAUGCUGAUCAGUCCACCUUAAAGCCAGAGGCUCCUCCCUUCCUCUGAUUUCCCUGUCGUCCUUACUUGCUCCAUCGUUGCCCUGGUCAGAUGAGUUCCCAUCUCCACCUCAGGCAUGCGAGCCAGCCACUCCCCCUUGGGCUUCCAGGUCUUUGAUGUUGCCCUGGUCCAUCGAUCUCUCAGCUCCUCUGGUUCCUCCAUGUACCCUGGUUCCGCCUCCUUGGAUCAGCCUCUGGGUGUCGCCCAGUCCUUCAGCCAAAGCUCCUCCCUGGUUCCUCCCACUGUCGGCUCCACCAUGGUGUUGGCCUCCUCAAAAUUCACCAGGUUCCAGUCCUUCACCAGCACCAUGCCCUCCACCUAAGCCUCCACCCUCAUUUCUCCUUUUCUGUCAUCUACUGUUGUGGCGUGAUGUCACGCCUUCUGAGGGAGGAGCUAAUGUCAUGAUUACGUUUAGUUAAGUUCCUGUCUUGUCUGUUAUGAGCUCUCUUUAGUUUCUGAUUAGUUAAUCCUUGUCCAGCUGUUCCUCCUUAGUUCUCUCAUUUACCAUGUGUGUACUUAUAGUCCUGUUUCUGUUUUAUCCUUUGUUGGUUAUUAGUUGUGAUAUGUGCUGCAUCUAGUCUCGGUAAAGUCUAUUUUGAAUUAGUUGUCGUCUGCUGGCCUCUUUUCCUGACAGCGUGUCACACCCAUAUGACUAGUUUUAGCCAUUGACAUCCCAUUCCGGGGUGCAGUUCCUCGAAGAACUGUUAGCCAACUAUUGAUUGCUUCCCAAAAAUCUUGCAAGGCUGAAAUUACAGCUCUUGACCUGUGGUUAGAAUGUGGUUAUGAUGUGGACUUAGAUACUCUUAAAUACAUACUCUAGGGCCCAAUAAAUAAGCUAAAAUGCAGAAAAUUAUAUAUUGUAUUCAGUGUAUUCAGUAUUUAGUAUUCAGUGAAGUGACUGAUGCCCAUGCCAUGAGUGUUAUGUUGAUGUUUUUAGCUCUAAUAUUCAGUCAGCCUAUGUUUCUGACAGACGUUAUAAUGUGCUUGAGUAUUAUAAAACAUGCUGGACAUGCUCAUAGUUCAUUAAACUUAUUUUAUGGAAUGACAUUUAUGUUGUGGCUUAAAUUACAACAAAAAUGUUACAAAAAUAAACUUAUGUAUUUACUUACA